rnacentral:rRNA from 1 species
GCAGUGGGGCAUAUUGCACAAUGGGGGAAACCCUGAUGCAGCCAUGCCGCGUGUGUGAAGAAGGCCUUCGGGUUGUAAAGCACUUUCAGCGACGAGGAAGGCUUGUGUGUUAAUAGUGCAACAUAUUGACGUUAGUCGCAGAAGAAGCACCGGCUAACUCCGUGCCAGCAGCCGCGGUAAUACGGAGGGUGCAAGCGUUUAUCGGAAUUACUGGGCGUAAAGCGUACGUAGGCGGCGUGUUAAGCAAGAUGUGAAAGCCCCGGGCUCAACCUGGGAAUUGCAUUUUGAACUGGCAUGCUAGAGUCCUGAAGAGGGUGGUAGAAUUUCCAGUGUAGCGGUGAAAUGCGUAGAUAUUGGAAGGAAUACCAGUGGCGAAGGCGGCCACCUGGUCAGAGACUGACGCUGAGGUACGAAAGCGUGGGGAGCAAACAGGAUUAGAUACCCUGGUAGUCCACGCCGUAAACGAUGUCAACUAGUUGUUCGUGUCAUUAAGACGUGAGUAACGCAGCUAACGCACUAAGUUGACCGCCUGGGG